AAACAGAUGGACGGAAUGGAUUCGAUUAGAACCCUCUCAGUGGACCCCACAAGGCCCGAGAGUCACAUUACUGUAUAUCUGCCACAUACUACUAAAUGAUUGUCAUCCUUUCCUCGUGCCAAAACGCCCUAAACCCUCUUUUCCACCGUCUCCCUCUCUCUCUCAGUCUCCGUUUCUUCCGAUCUCCCUCAUCCCGAUCUCAACCCUCUCUCUCGAUCUCCCUCUCACUCUCCCUCUCUCUCUCUCUCGAUCUCCCUCUCCCUGUUCGACUCUAGAUCUGCAACAUCCCCACACAUGGGAGAAGAGAUCGAGAGGAGACGACAGUCCCCACACAUGGGGUAUCUGAUAUUGUAGAAGCAGCAGCUCCGUAUGAGGUGUUUGAUCUAUCGUCAGACUGAAGGGAGGGAGUGCGUGGGUGCAGCAACAACAACAGCAUGAAGACGAUGGAAUCUGCCUGAUCUACCCUUCUCCUUCUCAGAUCUGUAUUUGCAAUUUGUUAGGGGUUUGAGAGAGCGAGAGAGACGAAGAAUACUGACGAAAUUCGAGACAGAGUAACACGGAUGCAAGGGGAAAUGAUGUGGAUCUUAGCACUUACAAGGGAAAAGUUCUGUUGGUUGUAAAUGUCGCAUCUCAGUGGUAGAUCAUCACAUCAGAUUAUUCUCCUAUUUUUAUAUAUUUUUUUCAUUCUAUUUUGCUAUAAUCUAAUUGAUUGUUUGCAGUGGAUUGACUAACUCAAACUACACAUAACUUAGCUAUACGAAAAUUUUAACCAACACAU